rnacentral:tRNA from 3 species
AAGUGAGAAGCAAUUUUGCAAUCAGUUUCGACCUGAUCUUAGAUAAAUCUAACCUUAUCCUCACUUU